GACUCUGCUGCUCCAUGAAAUUUUAGGACUUAUUGCUAUUGUUGAAUCAGGUGACUAAUUUCAGGGAUCUAAAAAGGCCUUAUGAUCCAUCAUCUUUUCCUUCAUCUGCCCACAAUCCCCCAGCAUUGGCCAACAUGGCAAACUCCCAUCUGAGUACCUUGGAACUUAAUCAGUGUGGGGCAGAGAACCUGGAACGGAUAGGCUGUCCGGGGACAGUGACAGGACGGCUGAGGGGAGAGAAAGGAGACAGGCCAGCUGUUUCCUGACGCCCUUGCUCAGUACAAGCACUGAACCUGAGAUCUCGGUAGGUUUGUAUGGAUCUGCAGAGAUCGCCCUAGGUUGGGUUGCUAUGGGAGCAGGUCUUUAACUGGAGGAGUUCUGAGAACGUUUUACCCUCUCUGGAACCAUGAGGAAAUUCUGGAGGGCAGACACGUUCUGUCUCUAGCUUAGCUCUCACUCCUUAAGGUGGGUCUGCCACCGCUGAGGUGCCCCCUUGGGUGGUCUGUGAGACUCCUGCAACAGCUCUGCACGACUUCUGGGGUCCACAGUCCAGGACAGAUGUGAAGUUUUGGCAUCAACAUAUUCUUGGGAGGCUGCGUCGUCCUAUCACAGUGAAGAAAGAAUUAUUUCAAUCAACAUCGUCAUCCCAAGUAGGAGACCAGAGUCUGUAAUCUCAGAGAGGCUGAGAUGCUGCCCUCCAGUGUGAUGUUUGUCUUCUCCUGAGGAAGUGGAUGCCAUGUGUCACUUUGCAGAUGGAUCAAGUGCAGGAGGUAUCCAGUUUCCAGGCAGGUUGCAUGGGAGAGAGACAGGUGUGUGUGUGCAUGCAGAGGAAAGAGAACAAAGCCCGAGGGAUCCAACUUCCAGGAAAUCUCUGCUGCGCUGGUGCAAAGGAAAAAUAACCCCUGCUCUCCUCUCAACUUAAAAAAAAUUUUCUGUUUGGUUUUGGUUUACAGAAGUCUAAAUAUUAAGCAGUUUCGUGGUGAUAAUGAUGCAGCCACAUUUUAGAUAAAUUCUUUGAACUUUUUAAAGCCCUUUGUGUUUUCCUAAUAGUUACUCAUAGAAGGGCUGGGAUAGGAAAAAUGCAGGCAGGCCAGCGCCUGCUCCUGAAUGCCCGUUUGAGCAAUCGUAUACCCUACAAAUUCAGCUCGUCACUUUUUUUUUCCUGGUGGUGGCAGCAAGAAGUUGGACGGGUUUCUGGGUACAUCUCGUCCUGUGGUGAGAUGAAUGAUUUCCUUUCAGCCUUGUAUGUUUGAAAUGGGUUCCUGACAUGGUGUCUGUGCCCUGAUGGGAGCUGCUUGUCUGUGUGAAGACAGCUAGCAGGACAC
rnacentral:lncRNA from 1 species